UCCCUCUAGUCUUGCACUGCUAAAUUAGGGACGGCUAGCGCAGAUAGUCCUCGUGUAGCUUUGCGCGAAAUUCUAAAAAAAACAAAAAAAAACCUGACUGUAGAGUGUGACUAUCUCCCUGGUGUGAAGAACCGCCAAGAAAAAAAUGUAUAUUCACAAAAACAAAAUAAUAAUACAAUUACAAAAUUAAAAACAGAAAGAAAAAAAAACGAGGGCAAUUGUUGUUGUGGUCGGUGCGUCGAACUUAUAAGACUAUUAGUAGACUUUGAUUCAAUUCUCAUUAAAUGGAUGUAUAAAUAUAUAAAUAGUUCGGUUUGUCAACUGAGAUUCUAAAGUAAUUGAACAGGCCUAAGUGAACUUUUGACAAGAAGAGGAGAACUAUACACAUACUGAUAUAACGUUUAGAAUACGCUUAUAUUCUCUAUAGCGUGGAUACUUUAUUGUAUACAUUCGGAAUAAUUGUAUAUAUUCGAAGCCCAACAACAACAUAGUAUAUAUUUAUACUAUUACAAUUGGUUAGUGUUUCUAGUGCAAAGAACAGCAGGAAAAUAAUUAGUUGGAUGUGUUAAGGAGGUUUGAUGUGGGAGUGUGCUGUGGAUAUUGGAGUUGCACUAGGCCUCACCCUGACUACUGUUAGGACAAUUUGGGGAAAUGGACAGUAGAUUCAUAGUAGUGCUCAGUGUGAUACAUCCCUCAGCACUACUGAGAUUAGCAGGACCAGAAGUAGUUUAAAGUAGUGUGUGAAUUGAAGACCACAAUCAAUGGCAUAUACCACUAAGUUUGCUUUUGAUGCAAGAAAAAACAAAAAGUCUGUUUGUUGAAUUGAAAAGUGACGUUGGUGAAAGUUCACAGGCAUAAACUUUUGCUGCCAAUCAUGGCUGGUUCGAAUGAUUCAAGAGACGUUGCAACUUACACACCAUUAAGGUACCUGGUGAGGCAGCUAAUGCAGAUGCUGUAACAGCUGAAAAAUUCCCAGAGCAUUUUAAGGAUAUAAUUGAGGAGGGUGAUUACUCACCAAUGUUGAAGAGACGGGUCUUUAUUGGAAGAAAAUGCCAAAACAUACUUAGAUUUCCUGUGAAGAAAAGACAGUACCUAGGUUUAAAUCUACAAAAGACCACUUAACGUUACUGCUGGGUGGUAAUGCAGCUAGAGGUAUGAAGAUGAAGCCAUUGUUAGCCAACCUCUCUGAAAAUCCAAGAGCACUAAAGGAAAUUUCAAAGAAUCAUCUGCCUGUUUAUUGGAAAUCGAAUAAGAAUGCAUGGAAUGAAUAUUACUCAAAGCAAAAUACUGAUUGCAAGAUUUUGUUGGUGAUUGACAAUGCAUCUGCCCAUCAAAUCAACCUCAAUGACCUAUGCGACAACAUCACAGUUAUCUUUCUGCCACCUAAUAUGACAUUGCUGCAGCAGCCGAUGGAUCAGGAUGCUGUCCCUACAGUGAAGAAGGAUAUCCUAAACUUAGCUAGGCAAGUUGGUUUUAAAAGAAGAUGACAUUGCAGAAGUUCUUGAAUCAGACAGUGAAGUACUUAGUAAUGAUGACUUGAGGCAACUUGAAGUUCAGAUAGUAGAUGAUGAUCCACCUCAUCAACCGUUGACUAUGAAGCGAAUGUCUGAAGCUUUCCAGCAUAUUGAGAGCCAUGCAAAUCUUUAGUGAUGAUGAUCCCAGUAGGGAAUGAAGUUCUAAAGUAGCUAGGGCAGUUGCUGAAAUAUCACAAAGAAAUGUACCGAGAGAAAAAAGAAAAUCGGUGCAAAUGUUUUUUUCGAAGGAAAGUUCCCCAAGAAAACGAAGAGGAUCCAAAGGAGGGAAAGAUGAUCUGCCUCUUCAUCCCAGUGACUCGCCCUUUCCACCCACUCAAGCAAGCUUUGAUAUAUAUCAUCAUUGAUGAACACAGUAUUAGCCUAUGCAGAUGUAUUUUAUUGGAUUAAACUUAAAAUGUAUUUUGUCUGGUAAAAAUAUUUCUGAGGUACCUAACCACCAGGUUUAUAUUAUUUUCAAUGGGAAAAAUAGUUUUGCUUAGUAUUAUUUUGUUUAAUGUCAUACUAAAUAGGGUGCAUAUGCGACAUUAAGCACCAAUUCACAACAACUGAACUACAUAACAUAUGAUUCAUAAGCAGUUACGUAAACAAACCUGUGAUAAACUAUUGCUUCUAAAAAUAACAAUUUAACACUCGCAUUGAACUUAAAUUAAAACAGUCAUGUAUACCUAACACUUCUGUAUAAACUGUUCUGACUUUUACAUAUCAUCUGUAUAUUUUAGAGAUACCCCUGAUAUCACAGAAUAUGGCUCUGUGUCUUCGAAUUUCUUUAUUUUCCUUUUUUUAAACAAAAUUUGAGGAUAUUCACCACCAAGAAGGAUUGUAGUGAUUAAGUUCUACUUACACCCUUUAAAAGCCCAUAAUGAACCAGCUAAAGAAGCAUGCCUUCAGACCCACCCAAAGGUAAAGGAAAACACUACUGAGGAACAGGUGACAGAACUUCUGAAACAUGCUCCCAAUAAGCCAGGAGGCACGAUAAAUCUACUUCAUCAAAUGGUGGCCAAACAUUGGACAAUGAUUAAAUG
rnacentral:lncRNA from 1 species